rnacentral:rRNA from 1 species
UACGUAGGGGCCGAGCGUUGUCCGGAGUUAUUGGGCGUAAAGCGCGCGCAGGCGGCCUCGCGCGCCCGACGUGAAAGCCCCCGGCUUAACCGGGGAGGGUCGUUGGGGACGGCGGGGCUUGAGGGCGGGAGAGGGUGGUGGAAUUCCCGGUGUAGUGGUGAAAUGCGUAGAGAUCGGGAGGAACACCCGUGGCGAAGGCGGCUCACUGGACUGGUAUUGACGCUGAGGUGCGAAAGCGUGGGGAGCAAACAGG